rnacentral:rRNA from 1 species
CGGGGAAUAUUGCACAAUGGGCGCAAGCAUGAUGCAGCCAUGCCGCGUGUAUGAAGAAGGCCUUCGGGUUGUAAAGUACUUUCAGCGGGGAGGCAGGCGAUAAGGUUAAUAACCUUGUCGAUUGACGUUACCCGCAGAAGAAGCACCGGCUAACUCCGUGCCAGCAGCCGCGGUAAUACGGAGGGUGCAAGCGUUAAUCGCAAUUACUGGGCGUAAAGCGCACGCAGGCGGUCUGUCAAGUCGGAUGUGAAAUCCCCGGGCUCAACCUGGGAACUGCAUUCGAAACUGGCAGGCUAGAGUCUUGUAGAGGGGGGUAGAAUUCCAGGUGUAGCGGUGAAAUGCGUAGAGAUCUGGAGGAAUACCGGUGGCGAAGGCGGCCCCCUGGACAAAGACUGACGCUCAGGUGCGAAAGCGUGGGGAGCAAACA